rnacentral:pre_miRNA from 1 species
AGCUGGGAUUAGCUCUGUAGGCGGCUGGAUGGUGUACGUCUGCUCUGCUGAUCACAGCUU